CAUUCAUCUAUCACCCAUGACCAAUUAUCCAACAUAGGGCUGUAGCUGAUAUGUAACAGGAAACACUCUGGAAAGGUUUCCAGUUUAUCACUGGACACACAAUAAUGCUCUAUAGACAAGUUAAUUUCACUUAAUCACAUGUUUUUGAAGGUUACCAGAGGUGUGUGGCUCUGCAGGGUAGGACUCUUGCCUGUGAUUGGAAGGUCAUUAGUUCUAAUCCUGCUCUUAUCAGUGAUUUCACCACUGUGUGCUUCAGUGAGGCCCUUAACCCCAGCUGCCCCAGAAACCCUGUCUGAUCCUAAGCUGCUUUGGACAAAUGUAACGUGCAGACACAGUGUUGUGAACUGAGGUGUGAAGUCACAGACUGUUACGGCAUGGAAUGAUGUAGGCGGGAAAAAGAAGGUGAUGAUCCACUUAGCAGCUCAUGAGACAAGAAAUUUAUUAAUCAACAGCAACAACAAUGGGAAAACCACCAAAAUAAAGGGACCACAAGAAAUCAGAAUUAAAUUGGCAAAAUAACAAUAAAGAGGGAGCCAUAUGUCAACAGGGAAACCAGGCAAUGAAGGGCGCAGGAAUCAAGCAGAAAGACAACACACAGUAACAUGGGCAAUGACCAGCUAGGGAAAUGAACAAAUGCAGAUACUUAAAUACAUUGAUAACAAGGACUAACAAAGGGCAGGUGUGAAUCAUCAAAAACAACCAAUUAACAAGGGCACUGGGCAACAAGACACAGGUGAAGCAACUAACAGUAAUGAACACAGAACUAAGGAACUAGAGACCUGAAAACACAGGAAAAUACUACAUUAGGAAAAUAAAGAAUAACAGAACAGGGAAGGCAAAUCUAGUACAGGAAACAUAAAACACUGGAAAGCAGAAACAAAGAAAUGCAAAGAAAGAAAUAAGGCUGAUCAUUAGCCAGCCUCAAACCAGUGACUGGAGAAUGCAAUUCCUAAGUGGCACACUCAACCCAUUGUGACAGGCCAGCGAAUAGGGAUGGCACACUGGGGGCUGAAGGACAAGAGAAAGCAAAGCUACACUGGACAUCGGGAAGUUUGAGAAGAUCACCACAGCUGAUUCAUACUCCCUGUUAUAGCCUCUGUUAUACGCCCUUUAAUUCAUACCCCCAUUAUACCCCCUGUUAUACCCUCUGUUAUACCUCCUGUUAUACCCCCUUUAAUUUGUACACCCAUUAUACCCUCUGUUAUACCCCCUGUUAUACCCUCUGUUAUACCUCCUGUUAUACCACCUUUUAUUUAUACCCCCUGGUCAGUGGCAAAUUCUUGGGCUGCUUUUUAUUGUUAGUCCGCCGC